UCUGCGUAAAGUUUACAUCAUGAGAUGCCAGCACCACUGGUCAGGUGGCUAAAAAUAUUGGUUCCUUCAGUUUUCCUUCUCUUGGAGGAAAGACAAAUGUGAUUAAUUAGAAAUAUUUGCAGUUGCAACAAAUAUGGACAAAGGUAUAACAUUCUGUGCAGUCGAAACCCUAAAACCGAUACUAAAAUCUCUGUUUGUUCAACAUUUGUGCUGAAUUAUGUUUUCUUGAGUAAUCAAAAUAGCAAUCAGUAGGUUUAAUGUAGAAUAUGUCAGGUCAUGGAUUGUUUUGGGUUUGAUUCUAGUUUUGAUUACUGUUCUUUGAUUGCCGUAGUUUCAUUGUUGGAUUAGAUCAGCCUUGUUUCUGUUUUACUUUAGUACAGUCCUUUCUUAGUUACUCUAGUUUAACUGUGUUCCUCGUGUCUAGUUAUUAUUUGUUAAUGUUAUAUUCAUUUUCCUAGUUCCCCUGUUUGUGUGCUUUCUGUGUAUUUUUUUUCUCUCUCUCUCUCCUCACACCUGCAGCCCGUUAUCUAAUCAGCCUUGUGGUAUUUAAACACACCUCCUGCUCUCACUCCUUGCUCUUCCUCCUGCUGGUUCUCUCCUUCCUGGUUCCUGAGGUUUUGCUCUGCUCUGUGUUCCCUGUGGGGGUUUUCUUUUUGUAAGUUUUUGUUCAUCAUUUUUUUGCUUCAUCUUUCUGAUCAUCAUAGCGGCUAAGAGAAAUUAGGAAGCUACAUGUCUUAAACCAGCUGCAAAAUUUAGCAAUUAGUCAAAGAAUGCGCUCCCACAGCGUGUCCACAUGUCACUGGUUCCAGCAUGAACACGGACAGGUGGUUUCACACCCACAGGCUUUGGGGGAUCCUCAUAAUUAACGGAUCAUUACCGAACAUUUGUGUACACUCGCAGCGUACGACAAAUGAGGCUCACCAGGGGGUUGGAGGGGGUGAACAGUGAUGAAUGGGAAGGCUCUGAGCUGUUUUAGUGAAUCCUGUGCAGAACUACGUUUGUUUGUCUUGGACAGUCAGUUUAUAGUUGCGUACUGCACUUGAUUGAGCUGGCUAAGGUAACUGAAAGUAAAAUAAUCUAUUCAAAUAAAGUUUAUUUCAGACUGUUUAAGAAGUGGCUAAUGCUUCCUGAAAACUGAGAACAAAAUGCAGAGUGACUCGUAAAAUUAAAUGAACCCAAAUUGAGGUUUUUAUAACUUAACAAUAAUUGAGUCUCAACAUUUAAGAUGUGAUUUUUUUUUUGGUAAUUUUGUCCGUUCAUGCACUCAGGCUCUUUCUGUGAGACUCCAAAAACAUUCCCAAGCUUCUGGCUCUUUAUCUUUCCCUGGAGUCAUGGGUGUGCCACAAUGCCUCCUCCCAUUGGGACUUGCCAGACACCUCCUGUUUUAGAGCCUUUGGAAUGCACCAUUACCAAAAGCUCAAACUUCCCCAGCUGUCUCAUUUUUGAUGUGGGGGACCAAUGACUGUACUCUGAGCACCUCGGGACUGGAGGAACUUCUCACUGCUGCCAGACCUAACCGCCUGUCAAAGUCCUCCACCUCAGUCCGAGGCUCGUUUCCAGCCUAAAAAUGGCGAUUCAUUCUUUUCGGGCUGAAGUCAACGGGGUCGGGUUUGUAGUACAAACCAGCUUUUCUGUUUAAACUUUGUGAACCGAUCAAUCCCUGCUGCCCUGGGGAUGUAUACGGCACGGAGCCUUGCAAAAGUGCCCACAGUCCUUGGCUCAAAUUACAACCACGAAACUCUGUGUAUUUUAUUGGGGUUUACAGAUGAAUGAAGUAAUUCAUCACUCUACAAUGCAAGCAACACAAUGCGUAUACAGAGAUAUCUGAAAGCAGUUGUAUUUAUAUUCAUCCCCUCGUCUUUGCUAGGUAUGCAAAGCUACAUGUCACUUUGCGCAUCUAGCAACUAAAAUUGGUGCCCGAUCCUCUUUGCUAUAACCUUAAACCCAAUCAGAUUGGAUGAAUGACAUCUGUGAACAGCAAAUUUAAAGUAGUCAAAUCGAUUUUCAACCUGAUUUAGGCCUGGACUUAGAGGUUACAUGUUGUUGUCUUGCUUUUAUCAGUAUUUACUUCCAUCCAUCAACAUUAAUAAGCUUUCCUUUCCACCCAGAGGAAUAAUGCUGCCACCACUCUGCUUCACAAUGAGGUUAAGUUUUGUUUUUGGUUUUUUUUGGUGUCAGAUAAUCUAUUUAAACAUAAUACGACAAACUAUUUAAAAAAGAAUUUCAGGGAGCAGGAAUGGUUUUGCAGAGCAAUAAAGCAGUUUUCAAAUUCUAGGAGUUUAAUACAAGACACCAUUAGAGGGAUAAAAUACACUAAAUUGUAAGACAACAGUGAAAGGAGCACCAGAGCUCUUAGUGUGAUUGCCGAUAAGCCAAUUAGAAGCAGCAGGAAGAGGAGAUAAGGUUUGCAACAACACAAUGCAACCCGAUUGUCGAUUUUCUUUUGUCGUCUUCUUUUUUUUUUUAACCAGGCAACACAUUUUGUUUUACUGACCAAUCAAACUGCCCCCAGGGUUUGAUUAUCAUUUAGGAUGGUUUCUUUGUCUGUGCCUGUCACACCCUAGAUGGAAAAGCAGCCCAGAAAACAAGGCCAGUCAGAAACUUCCUUUGUCUGGAGACUGUAAAUAAGAGUCGAGUGCUGAAAAGAAAUCGGACAGGGCAACACUGAGCUCUCACAGCCAGUAAAGGCAGACAAAUGGAACACUAAUGUGAAAGUGAGAAAAAAAAUAAAAAUAACAUAAAGAUCCACACCAGCUAGAGAAGAGUCUGUGCCAAAGAAAUAAUUGCUUAAUUAAUUCUUGGAGUGUUUUUUUUUUUUUCUUUCUUUUUUUCUCUGCUGGCCUACAGCUCAGGAAUCACGUGAGCCCUACUUCCCAGGAUUGUUGCUGAGGAACUGUUCUGCUGCUGAUAUUCCAGGGAACUGACAGCAUUACAUCAUACAGUUUACAAAGUCUCUUCCUUUCCCUCGUCCUGCUCCAUCUUCUACUCCUCACUCUUCCGGAUUUCAACAUCCCAAGCGGCAUUUUCACAUAAAAGGUCCCACAGAAUUUAAAGACUUCAGAGGUCAGCGCUAAAACACACUUUACAAAACCCAACAGCAACCUAUCUCGUCCCCGUUGUCAUAAACUUCAUGAACUUCUUUGAAGGGAAAAUAUAAACAUAAUCUCUGGUCCUGUAAUAGACCUCCAUCACUUCACAUAAUCAGGACGGACUGCAUGACGGUGUUUUGUAGCUGAGUGCCUCCUCCUGCUCCUUGAAGGCAACAAUUAGAUGGAUUAGUUCAUCAUCCUAAAACUGUUAACGGACACCGGCCAGAACAUUGUCUCCUGGACAAUCAUCAGCUCUCUUCCUUUUCACUUCUCACCCAUUAUCCUCUAUAACGUCCCACAUUCACCCUCUUCCUCAUAUUUUUUCUUUUAAGUCUGACAUGUCUGCCUUAUUUAAAAAUGUCAUUUAUUUACCUAAAUCGUGCCUUAAUGUUCAUUUCUCUCUUUUGUCUUUCAUUGUCGCGAUCCAAAUCAGAACUGCCUCGCUCCAAAGCCUUUUGCACCAGGCCCCAUUUGGCCAAGCUCUAUUUAACUUCAAUUUCCUUAAUGAGCAAACUGAGCUCCAAUUAAAGGCAUGGCCAUAACGCAGCAGCAGGCGGCUCAGUUCAGACAGUGUCGGUAUUAUACUGGUGCACCAUUGGAAAGACUCACUACUGAUGCUU